rnacentral:lncRNA from 1 species
GUACUACAAUGCAAAAGUCAAGCCGAAGGUUUUUCGAUUAGGAGACUUGAUCCUAAGAAAAAUAAAAAUCUUAAAACCUUUAGAUCAAGAAAAACUAUCUUUGAAUUGAGAAGGAGCUUACAGAAUAGCCGAAAUACUCAGAUCGGGCACAUAUCAACUAGAAACACUUGAAGGGUCGGCUAUUCUUCGAACAUGGAAUGCCGAUAAUUUAAAGAUAUGUCAUCAAUAAAAUCGCCCAUGUAUACAUUAUUCAGAAUGAAAUGCGGAAU